ensembl:lncRNA
UUUCUUUCUCUGUGUGGAUGCUACGCUGGAGCUAGAGCUGGAUUUACUUAGAAAACAAACAAUAAAAGAGGUAUUUUGACACUAAAGUUAACUGCAGAAGUUACGGAAGUAGACAAGAACCAUCAGACGUCUUUGAACCACGUAGAAAUCGAUAUUCCGGCUGUUUUUUUUUUUUGAGGAUUCUCUUCAGCGGGACUCUGAUCUCCAUCCAUCUGCCACUGUGUGUUGAUGUCCACCCACGUCCACAUCUCCAUCUCCAUCACACUAGGAUCGGCCAUCACCUCGGACCGUCUCGUCAGAUAUUCAUUAUAAGGGGGAGAGUUUCAUGGUAAAGAUGCUUCGUAUGACGCCCUUCAGUUUGAGCAUCCAGAAGAUGAACUCUCGACCUCACCCAGCCUGGACUGCAGUGUUGUGCUUCCUCCCAUGGGUGGAGACACUGAUAUCUGGCGCCAUGUUGCAAAACACACCUCCUUUAUUGAGCAACAGAACCAUAUUAAUGGCACGUUUUGUCCUUGAAUGCACCGUUCUUGCACACUUUUGUAACUAUAUUUUUG